CUAAGCAAUAAUGCUUAGUGGUGCCAAUAAUAAAAUAAAAAGAACUAAUAAAAAAAAAAUAAAUAUACAGUGAAUGUAUUGAUGUCUCAUGCAGACAAGUUUUUGAUAAUUAUUGGUAGUCUUAUUUAUUUGGUACUUGUUAUAUUCAUUAUUUCAUUAAAUUUAUCCACUUUCAUUUUUGGUUGCCCAAGUAACCUAUACUGGAUGACUGGACUGGAUAAACGGGUAAACUGGCACUGGGUACUAAGUACCUCGGACCAUCACACCAUCGGUCACAUUGUAUCUCUCGGUGUGCAACAGAACAGCUAAUAAGCUGUAAUAAUCAUCAAGGUGAAAACCGGAGUGUAACAACUCAAAUAACAUAGCCAAAGGCUAGUAUGUCACAAAACCUAAAUUGAACCACUAAGGGAUGGUUUGGGAGAUGGCUCAUGAAUCGCAGGGUUUUGGUUCAAGCCUCGGUUUGAAACAAUUUAACAGACGGUUCAAAGAUGGGUGGUUUGGGGCGGUUCAAUAGGGGUUUGGGGCAGUUUGGGGGGCGACUUGGGCAGUUUUAUCAAAAAAAUAGGAGGAAAAAAAAUUAAUAAAUGAAAUCUUUGAAAUAAAAAUUGAUAAGAAAUAUAUAGACUUAGUUAAAAAAAUUAUAGAAAUGAAAAGAGAUAAAAUUAAUUUUAGUUAAAAAAAAAGGGCUUGAACUUAAUUUUGUAAAAAUUAAGUUGCCUAUGUAUCCUCUUAGGGAUUAGAGGAAUCAAAACCUAUGUAGUUCUCUUAUCUUUUAUUUAGAGUUAAUAACCCCCCUUACCUUAAUCGCUUUGACAACCGCUUGAUCCAGUUACUGUUCUAUCUGUUCUAAUGUCAUAUAAAUCUUUAUUUCCUUCACGUAUGAUCUCUUGUUGCCUUAAUGCUGCCUUAGUCUAAUCAUCAAAACAUGUUUGAUCUUAUAAUGAUUCAGGAAGCAUACUAGUUCGUGUCUCAUCUAAUAUACUAUCCCCUAGACUGAAAGCUUGUUCAAUUGCAACUGUGGAGACUAAUGAUGCUAAAAUUUGUUUAGUAAUUAGUGCAAACUUAGGAAAAGUAUUUAUGUGUCGACGCCAUCAAUCAAGUACUAAAAAUUUUUUAUCAGCACUACUAUCACCAAACAUUAAAAUAAUGGUUAAAUAAAUGUCAAUUCCUGUCAACUUGGGGAAAGUAAUUAAACUUACAAAUCACAACUUAUUUAAUGUGUAAUUCAAAGACAAGGUUUGUAAUACAUAGCUUGCUACUAUUCCACUUGAAAUAUUUUAUAAUCAA
rnacentral:misc_RNA from 1 species